rnacentral:tRNA from 1 species
GGGUUGGUUGGAGAAGCAAACCGGCCUCUCACGUCGGUAACACGGGUUCGAUUCCCGUUGGGACCA